GGAUACGUCUACGCUCAGUGACGGACUCUCUUCGGAGAGUCUGACAUCCGAACCAUACACGGAUGUGCCUCGCCGAACAGUCUACGGCGAGCUUAAGCGCUGGGGACGCCCAACGCAUCACAAAGACUGAGUGAUGAACCAGAAGUAUGGACUGGUUGCGUUGGUGGAGACGGUCGGGUCCAGUUCGCUGUCGAGUAGAGUGUGGGCUCCAUCGACGCCGCUUUAAGGUCCCCAAUCGUGGCGUGUCGGCCUGCUUCGGCAGGCACUGGCGCCGGGACCUUGAAGAGAUGAGAUUUCGAUCUCAUCUUUGGGUGUCUCUGGUGCUUGAGGGCCCUGUGUUCGCACAGGGCCGCUCACUGGGUGUGGACGUAUCC
rnacentral:misc_RNA from 1 species